rnacentral:rRNA from 1 species
GACAGAGGGGGCAAGCGUUGCUCGGAAUCACUGGGCGUAAAGGGCGCGUAGGCGGGAUGGCAAGUCGGUCGUGAAAUCUCUCGGCUCAACCGAGAAACGUCGGCCGAUACUGCCGUUCUUGAGGGAUGCAGAGGAGACUGGAAUUCCCGGUGUAGCGGUGAAAUGUGUAGAGAUCGGGAGGAACACCAGUGGCGAAGGCGACUACCUGGCCUGUUCUUGACGCUGAGGCGCGAAAGCUAGGGGAGCAAACGGG